UGUUAGUUCUUGUUUGGUUGAUUCGGUAAGGGUUUAUUGUGUGUUUUCUGCGAUAAAAAAAGACAUUUUGCUAAGGAAGUUCCUGUGGCCUGACAGGUUCAAGUUUAAAAGGAAGUCUAGUUUCUGACUCUUUCACUUUUAAGAUAAGUGAAUGCAUUAUUUUUUAACUAGGGAGGAAAUCAUUUUCCAUUGACUUCAAAACAGAAUCUCCUUGCACUGGGGAAGUUCUAGUGGGUCCUGUAUUUGAUCAUUUGUGUGCUUUUGCCAGGCUUUCGACCAGAGUGGAAAUCCCUAACUGAUCUUUCAACUCUAUAACACAAUUUUGUCUUUGAAAAAAGUGAACUAUUUUUCUGGGAUGGGUUAUGUUUUCCUUGAUUGCCUCUGGGUCCCAUUCGUCACCUCCUUUUUUUUUUAACCUCUAG
rnacentral:lncRNA from 1 species